rnacentral:ncRNA from 2 species
GUUGACGAAAAAGCGCCGGGCCACGCGGGUGACAGCCGUGAGGGUGACGAGGAGAGGGAUCAUCGAAAGUUUCGGCGGGUGUUCCUCCGGUUGAAACGGGAGCAAAAGCUCCCGGGGCUUAUACCAGCCGCAGAGAAGGGCAAAAAACGGCAGCAAUACCGCAACAGAACCCUUUCAAAGAAAGCC